UACGAAGGGGGCUAGCGUUGCUCGGAAUCACUGGGCGUAAAGGGCGCGUAGGCGGCGGUUUAAGUCGGGGGUGAAAGCCUGUGGCUCAACCACAGAAUUGCCUUCGAUACUGGGACGCUUGAGUCUGGUAGAGGUUGGUGGAACUGCGAGUGUAGAGGUGAAAUUCGUAGAUAUUCGCAAGAACACCGGUGGCGAAGGCGGCCAACUGGACCAGUACUGACGCUGAGGCGCGAAAGCGUGGGGAGCAAACAGG
rnacentral:rRNA from 1 species